AUUGAACGCUGGCGGCAGGCCUAACACAUGCAAGUCGAGCGGAUGAAGGGAGCUUGCUCCUGGAUUCAGCGGCGGACGGGUGAGUAAUGCCUAGGAAUCUGCCUUGUAGUGGGGGAUAACGUCCGGAAACGGGCGCUAAUACCGCAUACGUCCUGAGGGAGAAAGUGGGGGAUCUUCGGACCUCACGCUAUCAGAUGAGCCUAGGUCGGAUUAGCUAGUUGGUGGGGUAAAGGCCUACCAAGGCGACGAUCCGUAACUGGUCUGAGAGGAUGAUCAGUCACACUGGAACUGAGACACGGUCCAGACUCCUACGGGAGGCAGCAGUGGGGAAUAUUGGACAAUGGGCGAAAGCCUGAUCCGGCAAUGCCGCGUGUGUGAAGAAGGUCUUCGGAUUGUAAAGCACUUUAAGUUGGGAGGAAGGGCAGUAAGUUAAUACCUUGCUGUUUUGACGUUACCAACAGAAUAAGCACCGGCUAACUUCGUG
rnacentral:rRNA from 1 species